CUCCUGACAUAGGCUCCCAGGAUGACCUUGGCAACCUUGGGCUGCAGUUUCUGCAUCUGUGAGCCAGGAUAACACCACGCUGCAGGAUGCUGUGAUGAUGAGUGCAGUUGGCUGCGCCCCUCAUGUGUCAGACAUGACUAUGCAUAUCAGGCGUGACCAUGGAUGUCAGGCAAGACAACAUGUGUCAAGCAUGACCGUGUAUGUCAGGUGUGACCAUGUGUGUUGGGCACGACCACGCAUGUCAGGUGUGACCACAUGUAUCAGGCAUGAUCAUGUGUGUCAUGUAUGAACACAGGUGUCAGGCAGUGCUCAGCUGUCCCCAUCUCACAGGGAGCCCUUCCCCAGACCCCAGGCUUCCAGGGCCGGGGCAGGUGUCUUUCCUGCACCACGAGGCACAGGAGCAGCCCAUCCCUGGGAAACUGAAUUCUCUCCUGCUGGCGCCCGGGCACCGUGCGACCCAGGCUGGCUUGUGGGACGGAAGAAACCCGGUCCUGAGUGCAGAACAUCAGACUCCUUCCUGCCUCUGGUCCAUGCGUGUCAUACCAGCCGUUUGGUGUAGUCUGAGACACAUCAAAGCAAAAGAUAAGAGACGGCUAAGG